GCGCCCGUACGCCAAGGGCUGGAGCGGCAGAUUUUAGGGGUCUGUGUUUGUCGGUUCGAAUCCGACCGGGCGCA
rnacentral:tRNA from 1 species